UUGUUUGGAGAGGAAACGAGGGUUAGUUGUAGAAUGAAAAGAGAGGGUAUUCUGGAUAUAGAAAUUUCAUUUAUCUCCGCCAAGUUCUAACAGUUCUAUAUUUUUCUACAACUUCCCUUUUCUUUGUAUUUCUAUCAACUUAGCCAAUGCUUGCUCACUUUCACUCAUUCCCCUAAUCACUGCAAACAGGAUCUCUUCUUCUUCUCCGAUCACCGGUGUCUGCUCAGCGCCUUAUUUUGAUCGGAUAAGUUAGGGUUCCAACGUUAUAUCUCUGUCUGAAUUGCUUUUUUCCUCUCCUUUUUUAAUUUUAUUCCCCAAAAAAUGGCGUCUGAGGAUGUGAAAAGAAGCGAGUCGGCGGUCUCGACGAUCGUGAAUCUGGCGGAAGAAGCGAAGAUAGCUAGCGAAGGAGUUAAGGCGCCGAGUCAUGCGCUGCUUAGUAUUUGCAAGUCUCUUGUUGCUGGUGGUGUCGCCGGUGGAGUGUCACGUAGUGCUGUUGCUCCCCUAGAAAGAUUAAAAAUUUUACUUCAGGUUCAGAAUCCUCAUAGUAUAAAAUACAAUGGAACAAUCCAGGGUUUGAAAUACAUAUGGAGAACUGAGGGUUUCAGGGGAAUGUUUAAAGGAAAUGGUACUAAUUGUGCUCGCAUCAUUCCUAACUCAGCAGUGAAGUUUUUCAGCUACGAAGAAGCCUCUAAGGGGAUUUUAUACCUUUAUCGGCAGCAAUCAGGAAAUGAGGAUGCACAACUCACUCCGCUUCUACGCCUUGGAGCUGGUGCAUGUGCUGGAAUCAUUGCCAUGUCAGCAACUUAUCCAAUGGAUAUGGUACGAGGUCGUCUAACAGUUCAGACUGAGAAGUCGCCUCACCAAUAUAGAGGAAUCUUUCAUGCUCUUUCAACAGUAUUAAGGGAAGAAGGACCCCGUGCAUUGUACAAAGGCUGGUUACCAUCUGUAAUAGGAGUUGUACCUUACGUCGGUCUUAACUUUGCUGUUUAUGAAUCUCUGAAAGAUUGGUUGAUCAAAAGGAAACCCCUUGGGCUAGUUGAGGACUCUGAACUGGGUGUCACAACAAGGCUUGCAUGUGGAGCUGCUGCUGGAACCAUUGGCCAGACAGUUGCUUACCCUCUUGAUGUCAUUCGACGCAGAAUGCAGAUGGUGGGCUGGAAGGAUGCUGCUUCAGUUGUCACCGGUGAUGGGAAGAACAAGGCCCCCAUUGAAUAUAAUGGUAUGGUUGAUACAUUCAGGAAAACAGUGCGCUAUGAAGGUUUUGGAGCAUUAUACAAGGGUUUGGUUCCGAAUUCAGUGAAGGUGGUUCCAUCUAUAGCAAUUGCAUUUGUCACGUACGAGUUGGUAAAGGAUGUACUCGGAGUUGAGUUAAGGAUAUCUGACUGAAGGAACUCCCAAGAGUUUGGUCAAUCUUUUGUGUUCAUUUUGAUGAGCAAGAAUUAUUUUGCUUUUAAAGGAAAGCUUCAAGUUUACCUUUUCUAUGUCAGUCACAUAAUCUGAAAUAGUUCGAGUUUUUCUCUCAAGCUGCAGUUCCAGUUCUGCUUUCUGGCUAUGCAGGGACUCCAGCUCCUGUUGCAAUGUGUUUAACUGAUCCAUUAAGCUCUUGAUGCAAGUUGAUGCUUCAUCACUUCUAAAUACAAUAUAUUCUUCCAUAUUAGCUUUUUGGGUCCGUAGCCUCUUCAUGUCCAGUAGCAGAUUAUUGGUCUGUACUGUCAAGUUCUCAUUAUCCUCGAGUUUCUUUGUGAGAGUCAAAAGCUCCUUCUCUCUCUUUUGUGACACCAUCUCAGAUGGUUGAUUCCAUGCACCUCAUGUAAUUCCGUGAGCGUGAAAAGUUCCCUUAUGCAUUUCCUCUUUUGAUGGACUCAAGUCAGCUGAGUUGUUUUAUUGUGCCCCGCGCCUGCUGAACCUCAUCUGAAACCUCCAAAAGUUAUGAGUUGGGACUUAUUUUCUUCUGAAGCAGCAUUAAGACUGGCUCAAUUCUGAAAUUUGCUGUUCUGCAGAUUCCAGCUGUUGCUGCAUGUUGGAAACUUUCUGAUGAUUUCCUCCGCUUCUCACACCUUGCUUAAAGAAGCUAGAUAAUCUGAUUUAAAUAGAAUACCAUGUUAAGCUGACUGGCAUUUUGAAAUAUCCAGGAACCAGAGUUAUUGGUAAAAUGUAGAAAUUACCUAGUUUACUUA